GUUUAACCAGUUAACAUUGCGGUAUGACAACAGUAACCCUCCAUUAAUUGUUGGGAGCUACAAAAUAAUGAUAAUACGAACCAAGAAACAAAGGAAUAUCAUCUUUACCUGAAGAUACUAGUUACUGGUUAAGGGAAUGGUGCAGUCAGAUGGAGCUCCUGAUGUUCUUAUGGCAACUGCAGCCUCCAUUUCUGCAGGAAACACCAAACUUUUAGACCUCAGUCAUGAAGCUGAAGACUGCAUUCCACCUACUACCUUAACACGUACUUGAACCAAUAACUGGAAUGGAGAUUCCCUUGGACACCGGUGACACAGACUACGUUUCAUCAGAACUGUGGGAGUAAAAUCAGCACAUCUCAGCAUCUCUACCUGCAUUUCAAAGUAGGCAAAACCCUAAAGAUCAUCAGGAUGAGCAGUUCAGAAAGAAAAUCAAGGACAAUCACAUUUGGGGGAAGAUGCAAUUCUUCUUACAGAUUAACCACUGAAGUUUAUCCUCCUCAAACCAAAACAGAAAAUGUAGUUCCUAUAAUAAAAAUGCAAGUCACUUUAACUUCAAGACACAAACCAUGCCCGCAGAGUAAUGUCAUUUUACCCCUUUACCUAAGAACACUGCUAACUUUGAAAGCAGUUAAAAAACUAUAGGAAAUAACUUACACUAGUGAACAAUAGAUGUGUUGUCUACUUCCAAUCCAACCAAGAGCCAUGAACUUAGAGCAAACAAACCAAAACAGGUCUAUCUUUUGCUUUUAUGUUUCCACAGAUACACAAUCAAGCCUCAUUUGACUCAAUUUCUACCAUUAAAAAAACUUCAGCUCUUACUGGAGUCAGAAUUUUCUUCAUCUUGCAAGCAAGACAUUUGGACACAAACUUUGUUGCAUCAAAAAAAAUAGAUCAGAGUUCUUUAGCUUUAAGCCCUCUGCCCAUAAACCCUUGUUGUGCACCUAACUGUGACUGACACAAAGCUGUGGCUGAUAUAAUUGAAGUGAAUGGUUUCCAAAGUUCAGAGAAUAUUUCAAAAUAGCUAAUGGGCAAUAUAACAUUCUUAACAUAUAAAACAUUGCAAAGCUAAGGCUAAAGUCACAGUACCUUAAUUCCUCACCUACUAAUCCUUGCUUCAACAUGCAUAAAGUUUUUCAGCACACAGUGGCCAGAGUUUUUGCUAUAUCUCUCUUAAGGCAGUGACAAACAUCACAUCAUAAGCAGUGGUAAGCCUCCAACUAUAACCGAGGUUGUUCUCACAUAGUUUUGCAAAGCAGAUCAGCACUUGUGCAGCUUACCUAUACACAACCAGUCAUACUGCAGCGCUGAUUUUUAGCACUAAAGUAAUAGAUCUAACUGCACUAAUAGCUUAAAAUCUCAGUAAACGUGUUUCACAGCAGAUGCUCUGCACUGUCAGGCAGAUGCCUGACAUGCUUCAGAUGAAACAGUAUUGUUUCACUUCACUGGAGAAAAAAUAGGCUCUGAAGUUAGCUGAAUACCAAGCUGGAGCAAAUUAGCAUUCAAGUAAAAUUUCAUUGUAAAUCAAAUAUUACAUCCAAUAAACAAGUUAUAAAUUAAUUCUUCUAAGGUUACAAAGCAGUUGUAUUGAAAGCUGGGAUUGUGCACAAGACAAUCCAUUAAUACAUACAAAGACAAUCAGAAUUUCAGUCAAGUGUAACUUGAAUAUAAUACAUAUACUGGGGAUGCAUAGACCACUGCUCUUGAAGUCAGUAAAAUAUCUAGCUCUUCAGUGGUUGUUACAGAGCUGGUCACAUUAAGUAAUCCAUGUCUGAUAGCGCCCAUGCAACAAGGAACCUCCUAACACUAAAAGUGUUGAAAGGUUUGUAAGGAGACAUCUGCUGCUCCAGACGAUACAGAACACCUGACCUUCAGGCAUAUUACGCACUAGUGCUGUUCCUCCUCAUUGUGACUCAGAUCUUUAUGAUAACUCCUCAUUACAGUAAGAUUUACACUAGUUUUCUUUUACAAGAUAGUUUUUCAUUUAGCAGACAAUGCCACGUUGCACAGUUUAAUUUGUUAAUACAGUUAACAGUAAAGUGCAACAAUUAUUUGUAUUUCAGUUAUGUACCGAACCCAGAUUUUCAAGCCUUACCAUUCUAAGUGAUGCUCUUCAGUAUAGGUGCUAGCAGUCAGUACAAUAUAAUGUCUACAAUAAAACAGAAAUAUACUGGCUGAGGACUUUAUUAUUUUAAACGAAGUCAAAACUCCCUUAAAUACAGAUAACAUGACAUCUAGAUAAGACAGCAGUGUAAGUAUGUAAGGUUGUAUCCUGUAUUCAGCAUGGUAUUAACUAAUGAAAAAGUUAUCACAUCCUUUAGAGUCACAUUCUGCUACAUUCAGAACACUGUAGUUGAUCUUUUAAUUAGAAAAACAGCUGGUAAUAUGACAGUUUCUGCAUCUCCCCUGCAUUUAUCCUUAUUAAAAAAAAUCUAAUGCCACUUCCAGUACCUAAAAAAUAAACACUAAAUGUUGCGGACCUCCAGGGGUUCAAAACCAGAAUCUAGUCCGUUCGCUGGCUGAGCCGCGUGGGGAGUGAUGACAUGACCCAAUAUGAGUGCAUCAGAAUCUCCCUUUAUUAUUCAUUACUUACACACAUAUAUAGAUCACGGCAAAUGCGCAUCAGCUUGUAAUUGGUUGGAGCAUUGCAAAAAGCCCCCUGCCUAAUAAUACCAUUGGUCAUGCAUGUUUUCAUACCAUUCCACUGCCUUAAUCUCUUUCCAGGCGAGCUACCCCCUUAUCUUAACUGAAGCCUCAGUUUGUCUUCCUGCUUUGACAGCUUCAAGGUCUCAUAGCCUGGGUUGUGCACAUAGCACCCGAGCUCACAGCCAUUAUAACAAACUAGUACUUUUCCAUUAGUUCUGCUUGUACAACUGUUCAAGAGACCCAUGACCCCCUCAGCUGUGGAGCCAUCCCUCAACAAUUAAUGCCAUCUAUUUAGAUAAUGUUUCAGUCUUUUACCAAUACACAAAUCAUUCCAAGUUCAGAAAACAGAUUUCAUACAUACUUGUACUUCUGAAAGAAAUUUGGUUGUUCAAAGAGCUUUGGCCAAUCUGACCUUCCUUGGAGAAUCUCAUUUGUAACUGCGAGACCUAUAAAUGUUGCAAAAACAUGAUAAAACAUGAUAUCAACUCUGCAAGAUAAAAGUUUUGAACUUUUAUGAGAUGAAAAGCAAGAAAGCAAGCAAGCUCUUGACACAGCACAGGUGUACUACAAUAUUUUGUUGUAAAACUAGGUUGGUCAGCAAAACAAGAUCAUUUCUCUGUGGUCUAUUCUGUCUGUUCUGGCAGGACACCUCAUGAAACAUCAGCAAUGCAAAUAAUGCUUUUACACAGUAAACAUUAUACUUCUUAAUCAGCUAAUAAGCACAGAAAGAACAUUAUUUUUACCAUGUUUGAGCUCCUCUACCACUACAGCUCGUGUUGAUGUGGAUACAUUGUAUGUAGAGUUCUGCUGUGGAUAGGCUGGGGUGAUGAUCGGCAUUACAUGGUAUCUGUCUGAUGGGUUGACCUACAUGUUAAAACAGUUCUGUUUAGCAUCAGUUUAACCUGGAAGAAAGUUUUAAGGCUUCUGUAUUUAAUUUCUGCAUACCCUAGGAUCCCAUACUGGUAAGUUAAGAUUAUUCUCUUCAGGUUGUUUCAGCAGUACAGGAUUUGGCCAUUCCCUGUAAAAGAUAAGCCAUUAACUAAUAAACAACUGUUCAUUUUAAAACUCAGAUAUGUAAUUCAGACUAGGACUGAAUGUUGUAAAUACAAUUUUUAAGAAACUAGCUUUAAAAAGGUUACUACUUUAUACAUACUAUAACUGUCAUAAGCAAUAGCUCUUACCAUUUUGAAAAAAUCAAGAAGAACUUGUGAACAAGAGUAGAAGCCAAUGCAUUUGGAUGGAGUUGACAUGUUCUUGCUACUAGCAUUGCCCAAGAAACCCCACCAAGAAAUCCCAGCAUGUUGGA